GUCUGGAACAUAACAUUACGGUGUCAAAAUAUUCAGCAUUCUUCAUUCUGACCAGUUAAGAAAUGAAUAAACAUUAAUUAUCAUUGAACAUUGCUCACGGGAGAGUUUGGGAUGAAUAUACCACACUAUAGAAAGUUAACACUGUUCAGUUCUGUGGAACAGCAAUAUGGGGACAUUCGAACACAGGCUCUCCAGAGUUAGGUUAAGACAAAAGUCAUGUCACCUGAAACACACUCAGGUUUUUCAGGUCUAAAGAAAUAUGAGGACAUGACGACUGAAAUCAUGGAGAGUCCAUGUUUCUGAUUUAUAACUUCUCCUGUGUUUGUCAAAGAAAGCUGAAAACUCAAACCUAGUAUAUCAUGAUAAGAAGUAGUAACCUGUUGUAAGGAUGAAGUGGAUCUCUCACUCCAUUCUUGGUUUCCAGAGGGUUCAGUCAGGUACCUGUCACUUGAUGUCUGCAACAUAACAUUACGGUGUCAAAAGUUUCAGCAUUCUUCAUUCUGACCAGUUAAGAAAUGAAUAAACAUUAUUUCUCAUUGAACAUUGCCCACAGGAGAGUUUGAGAAUAAUGUACCACACUAUAGUAAGUUAACACUGUUCAGCUCUGAGUAACAGCAAUAUGGGGACAUUCGAACACAGGCUCUCCAGAGUUAGGUUAAGACAAAAGUCAUGACACCUGAAACACACUCAGGUUUUUCAGGUCUAAAGAAAUAUGAGGACAUGACGACUGAAAUCAUGGAGAGUCCAUGUUUCUGAUUUAUAACUUCUCCUGUGUUUGUCAAAGAAAGCUGAAAACUCAAACCUAGUAUAUCAUGAUAAGAAGUAGUAACCUGUUGUAAGGAUGAAGUGGAUCUCUCACUCCAUUCAUGGUCUCCAGAGGGUUCAGUCAGGUCACUUGGUGUCUGCAACAUAACAUUACGGUGUCAAAAUAUUCAGCAUUCUUCAUUUUGACCAGUUAAGAAAUGAAUAAAUAUUAAUUAUCAUUGAACAUUGCUCACGGGAGAGUUUGGGAUGAAUAUACCACACUAUAGAAAGUUAACACUGUUCAGUUCUGUGGAAUAGCAAUAUGGGGACAUUCGAACACAGGCUCUCCAGAGUUAGGUUAAGACAAAAGUCAUGUCACCUGAAACACACUCAGGUUUUUCAGGUCUAAAGAAAUAUGAGGACAUGACGACUGAAAUCAUGGAGAGUCCAUGUUUCUGAUUUAUAACUUCUCCUGUGUUUGUCAAAGAAAGCUGAAAACUCAAACCUAGUAUAUCAUGAUAAGAAGUAGUAACCUGUUGUAAGGAUGAAGUGGAUCUCUCACUCCAUUCUUGGUUUCCAGAGGGUUCAGUCAGGUACCUGUCACUUGAUGUCUGCAACAUAACAUUACGGUGUCAAAAGUUUCAGCAUUCUUCAUUCUGACCAGUUAAGAAAUGAAUAAAUAUUAAUUAUCAUUGAACAUUGCUCACGGGAGAGUUUGGGAUGAAUAUACCACACUAUAGAAAGUUAACACUGUUCAGUUCUGUGGAACAGCAAUAUGGGGACAUUCGAACACAGGCUCUCCAGAGUUAGGUUAAGACAAAAGUCAUGUCACCUGAAACACACUCAGGUUUUUCAGGUCUCAAGAAAUAUGAGGACAUGACGACUGAAAUCAUGGAGAGUCUAUGUUUCUGACUUAUAACUUCUCCUGUGUUUGUCAAAGAAAGCUGAAAACUCAAACCUAGUAUAUCAUGAUAAGAAGUAGUAACCUGUUGUAAGAAUGAAGUGGAUAUCUCACUCCAUUCAUGGUCUCCAGAGGGUUCAGUCAGGUCACUUGGUGUCUGCAACAUAACAUUACGGUGUCAAAAUAUUCAGCAUUCUUCAUUCUGACCAGUUAAGAAAUGAAUAAAUAUUAAUUAUCAUUGAACAUUGCUCACGGGAGAGUUUGGGAUGAAUAUACCACACUAUAGAAAGUUAACACUGUUCAGUUCUGUGGAACAGCAAUAUGGGGACAUUCGAACACAGGCUCUCCAGAGUUAGGUUAAGACAAAAGUCAUGUCACCUGAAACACACUCAGGUUUUUCAGGUCUCAAGAAAUAUGAGGACAUGACGACUGAAAUCAUGGAGAGUCUAUG